rnacentral:rRNA from 1 species
AACGAACGCUGGCGGCGCGCCUAACACAUGCAAGUCGAACGCGAAAGUGUAGCAAUACAUGAGUAAAGUGGCGCACGGGUGAGUAACGCGUAGGUGAUCUACCCUUGCGAUCGGGAUAACCAGCCGAAAGGUUGGCUAAUACUGGAUAGAGCGCAUUGAACGUAAAGUUUGGUGCGGGAAAUGAGGGCGUAGCAAUACGCUCUUGCGCUGGGAUGAGCCNGCGUCUCAUUAGCUAGUUGGUAGGGUAAUGGCCUACCAAGGCAUUGAUGGGUAGCUGGUCUGAGAGGACGAUCAGCCACACUGGAACUGAAACACGGUCCAGACUCCUACGGGAGGCAGCAGUGGGGAAUCUUGCGCAAUGACGAAAGUCUGACGCAGCGACGCCGCGU